rnacentral:rRNA from 1 species
GAUGAACGCUGGCGGCGUGCCUAAUACAUGCAAGUAGAACGCUGAAGCUUGGUGCUUGCACCGAGCGGAUGAGUUGCGAACGGGUGAGUAACGCGUAGGUAACCUGCCUCUUAGCGGGGGAUAACUAUUGGAAACGAUAGCUAAUACCGCAUAAAAGUCGACAUCGCAUGAUGUUGACUUGAAAGGUGCAAUUGCAUCACUAAGAGAUGGACCUGCGUUGUAUUAGCUAGUUGGUGAGGUAACGGCUCACCAAGGCGACGAUACAUAGCCGACCUGAGAGGGUGAUCGGCCACACUGGGACUGAGACACGGCCCAGACUCCUACGGGAGGCAGCAGUAGGGAAUCUUCGGCAAUGGGGGCAACCCUGACCGGGCAACGCCGCGUGAGUGAAGAAGGUUUUCGGAUCGUAAAGCUCUGUUGUAAGAGAAGAACGAGUGUGAGAGUGGAAAGUUCACACUGUGACGGUAACUUACCAGAAAGGGACGGCUAACUACGUG